AUAAAAUCACAAAGAAUUAGAAUAUACGACUAAAAUUACAAUUUAUUCACUCAUUAUGUACCGAAAAUGUAACUUCCAUGGCCUCCGCCAUUUCAGA